CUUGAUAAAUUAUAAGAGGUCCAGCCUGCCCAGUGAAAAAUUUAACGGCCGCGGUACCCUGACCGUGCGAAGGUAGCAUAAUCACUUGUUCUUUAAAUAAGGACUAGUAUCAACGGCAUCACGAGGGUUACACUGUCUCCUUUCUCCAAUCAGUGAAACUGAUCUUCCCGUGAAGAAGCGGGAAUAUAACCAUAAGACGAGAAGACCCCAUGGAGCUUUAAAUUUUAUAGCAACUCAGUCAAAUAAACCCUUAUAAUACACAGAGCCAUGCAUGCCAAUUUUAGGUUGGGGUGACCGCGGAGUAAAAAUUAACCUCCACGACGAAAAGAACUAGAUCUUUAUCUAAGAGCUACAGCUCUAAGAAUUAGGAUACUAACGACAAUGACCCGAUAAUCGAUCAACGGACUA
rnacentral:rRNA from 1 species